GCAGCGUGCGUCUCGCUGCGCCGUAACGCCUGUGUGGCGUCGUUAAACGAAAACCUCAGCCUGGUUGGCGAAAACCUCAGCCUGUGUGGCGACACGGAACCUCAGCCUGUGUGGCGACACGGAAACUCAGCCUGUGUGGCGACAGAAGAACGGAAACUCAGCCUCUGUGGCCACCCCAAUUCGCACUAAGUAUUAAAUCUCCCUUUUGUCUUCUUUUUAUCAAUGUGAGUAGUCUCCUUUCGACCUUCCGAUCCGGUUCAAGACAAAGAAAGAUAACACGUUUCCUGCUGAUGUUCCUGCCUGGAGUCAGUUUGCGAUCCCUGUCUUCGCCUGGCCCUGCCUGAGGCUGCCUCGGGAACUCCUCGGUCACAACAACUCCCAAGAUUCCGGAGAACUAUCAUCUCACCUCUAGCCACAGCCCCUCCGAUCAACUCAAAAUGGACAAGGUCCUGAACAAGCCGCGUUCACUUCAAGCGCCUUCAAUCGCCUCUGUUUCUAAGCAUGGGCCAAAUCCCGUGCAAUGUCAAACUAACGGUGCUGGAAGUGAGUUCCCAGAAGGCUUCAUGUUUCUUGGUGCAUCCUACACUCCUGUUCAACGCUGACAAAAAUGGCUGCCAGAACUUCCUUCAGAGAACCAGAAACGUGGGAGUCAACAGGCGGUGCCGCCUUCUGCCAAGAGAAACAUAAUACGUCUCAUCGCGUCUUGAUGGAGCGUUUCACUCGACGGGCCAUUCCGGCACGGCGGGGACAUUCGGAGGACGGCUAAAAGGUGCCUUACGGCGAAGGUGCUUUACGACAGCGAACACGCUGCGAUAGCGGUCAUGUACGGCAGAGUCGGCUAAUAAAAAAUGGCUAAUAAACCA